rnacentral:rRNA from 1 species
UACAGAGGUGGCAAGCGUUGUUCGGAAUUACUGGGCGUAAAGGGCGCGUAGGCGGUUCGAUAAGUCCCGUGUGAAAGCCCCCGGCUCAACUGGGGAACUGCACGGGAAACUGACGGACUUGAGUUCGGGAGAGGGAAGCGGAAUUCCGGGUGUAGCGGUGAAAUUCGUAGAUAUUCGGAAGAACACCAGUGGCGAAGGCGGCUCACUGGACCGGUAUUGACGCUGAGGUGCGAAAGCGUGGGGAGCAAACAGG